rnacentral:siRNA from 1 species
AAAGAGAAUAAUGAAAUGCAU